rnacentral:lncRNA from 1 species
CCAUGGAGCUGCUGCAUCUUUCAUUUACUCAGUAAAAAUAGGCUGACUUCUGCAAAUGGCCACUUCCCUUCCCCUGACCGAGCUCGAUUGUUCCUGUUCCCUCUCUAACUGAUGUUCUGGACCGACAAAAUGAACCUGGUACCUCCUUUGGAAUUGUGGAGACCACUCGGCUUCUGCGUCUCUCUCUCUAGGAGCUGCUUUCCAGAGCUGCCUCUUAUUCGGCCAUCUUGGGAUCCCCAGAAGUAUCUUUUUAAAAGGUUGCCAGCUGCUUCAGCGCCAACUUGGCAUGAAUAAGGCACAAGAAAAGUCAAGGAAUUCACCCUCCUGUUUCUCAAGAUCCCCUACCAGUCUGCCUUCUCUUCUUCACCUUUUGCAAUUUUCUCGUGUCUGUUUCAUGGAUGGUGUUCAGGGAUUUCAGUUGUACCUCGUGGGAGGAGUAAAGUAC